rnacentral:rRNA from 1 species
UAUUGCACAAUGGGCGGAAGCCUGAUGCCGCGACGCCGCGUGAGUGAAGAAGUAUCUCGGUGUGUAAAGCUCUAUCAGCAGGGAAGAAAAUGACGGUACCUGACUAAGAAGCCCCGGCUAACUACGCGCCAGCAGCCGCGGUAAUACGUAGGGGGCAAGCGUUAUCCGGAUUUACUGGGUGUAAAGGGAGCGUAGACGGCGAUGCAAGUCUGAAGUGAAAGGCGGGGGCCCAACCCCCGGACUGCUUUGGAAACUGUAUGGCUGGAGUGCAGGAGAGGUAAGUGGAAUUCCUAGUGUAGCGGUGAAAUGCGUAGAUAUUAGGAGGAAAACCAGUGGCGAAGGCGGCUUACUGGACUGUAACUGACGUGGAGGCUCGAAAGCGUGGGGAGCAAACAG